AUGCUACGGUGAAUACGUUCCCGGGCCUUGUACACACCGCCCGUCACACCAUGGGAGUGGGUUGCAAAAGAAGUAGGUAGCUUAACCUUCGGGAGGGCGCUUACCACUUKGUGAUUCAUGACUGGGGUGAAGUCGUAACAAGGUAACCGUAGGGGAACCUGCGGUUGGAUCACCUCCUUACCUUAAAGAA
rnacentral:rRNA from 1 species